rnacentral:tRNA from 1 species
UAGGAAGUGGUGUAGAGGAAGCACGAAGAGUUUAAUCUCUUCAGGUUGGGUUCGAUCCCCUUCUUUCUAA